UUAAGGUCUUGGCUGAGAAGGUGACUCGGGCAGGCUCUGAGAGGGUGUCUGUUCUUAUCAGUUUAAUAUCUGAUACGCCCUCUAUAUGAGGGCUACAUAUUAAAUGGAUUUUUAGAACAGGGAGCAAGAACAGGAGCUUGCUCCUUCUGCUCCACNCAUCGACCUGGUAUUGCAGUACCUCCAGGAGCGGUGCACCUUCC
ensembl:snRNA U2 U2 spliceosomal RNA